rnacentral:snRNA from 1 species
UUGAAUGUCAGUUAAAAAUUGGAACUGGAACUAUAUAGCGAAAAUUAGCAUGGGCCCUGCACAAGGAUGACACGCACUAAUCGAGUGCCAAAACAAUGGACUUUU